rnacentral:rRNA from 1 species
UUUCUCAGGGAAGAAAAAAAUGACGGUACCUGAGGAAUAAGCAUCGGCUAACUCCGUGCCAGCAGCCGCGGUAAUACGGAGGAUGCAAGCGUUAUCCGGAAUGAUUGGGCGUAAAGCGUCCGCAGGUGGCUAUGUAAGUCUGCUGUUAAAGAGUGAGGCUCAACCUCAUAAGAGCAGUGGAAACUACAUAGCUAGAGUGCGUUCGGGGCAGAGGGAAUUCCUGGUGUAGCGGUGAAAUGGGUAGAGAUCAGGAAGAACACCGGUGGCGAAAGCGCUCUGCUAGGCCGCAACUGACACUAGGACGAAAA